rfam:Acidaminococcus sp. CAG:917 genomic scaffold, scf59
GGAGGCAUAGCUCAGUUGGUAGAGCGCUACCCUUACAAGAUAGAUGUCAUAGGUUCGAGUCCUAUUGUCUCCA